GCAAGUCUGCUCCGACCGCUGCGUCGCCCGCAGUUAACGGGAGACUUCCGAUGCUUUGCUGCGCUUUCUGAGUUAGUCGUGGAAACUGCACCCGGGGGUAGGCCCAGUCAACCCUGGGGCCUACUGAUGGGGCUUAUACAGCAGCCUGAAAAACAUCAGAAAACAGCACAACACCCAGGAAUCACUUAAGGCUGGGAGCCAGAAGUGUCUUGAUCACCCUGGUUGGGCAGCUCUCACCAGACGACUACGGGAGGAAUGGCCUUGCUUCUUCCAGUGACAGCUGAUGCCACAUCCCGCCCCCCAGGUGCCAGAUGUUCUGAACUAUACUUCCCAUCAGCUCAACCAUAAUGACCAAUGGGCAGAGGCAAGAAUCGUGCCCUUCAGAAGGGUUCCAGUACCAGACAGGAUCCAUUCCUACAAUUUAGUCAGGGAAGGGAGCUCUCCGAGACUGGAUGUGGACAACAAUUCCUCUCCUGUGGUUCAAGUCCUGUCAGAUCUCCAGACAGCCUCGCUUUCGAAUGCUACAUGACUACAGAGCCAUUUUCUGCACAGGUGUCCGGAGAAGGAUCCAUGAGCUUUCUGGUGUGGCAAACUGCAUGAAUCCUGAGGAAAUGUAGGCACAGGACAACGAAUCUCUGAUAUAUUUCCACUCUCCGCCUCUGUGCCUGGGCUGUUUUCACCUUGCAGGGGUUCUGUAUUCUCAGAACCACCCACGAGGAAAGCAUAAGAAGCCUCUCAUCCAGGGCCACCGGCGUAGCCCUCCUUGGGCCUACUGCCCUUUCCCCAGGCCAAGAGGGAGCCGGUUGUGGCCCUCCAGAUUGUUUUAGCCUAUACCUCCCACCAUGUAGGCUGCCUGGGUUGUAGGUCAAAACAUCUGGUAAACCCCAGUUGUAACAGAAACACGUAGCAGACCAGACACAGAUUUCCUUGAAUCACAUUAGUCCAGGCAUAGUUUAUCAGUCACGUGAAAUACUGUAUUUCAAAAUGAGGUUUUUCGGGUUUUUAGGCACCUUUGAGCAAAACUGGAGAGGUGUUUCAGGUUUUGCAGGGUUGUGUUUGCAUGGCAGAACUACCUGUGGAUUGUUUAAAGCAUGGAUGAGCACGAACAAGCAAGUGGGAGCAGCUUCUGACUGCCCCAAUACUCCCACUGCAGCCAGGUGCAGCUAAACAACCCAUGGAUGCCCCUAAUGGGGACAUCUGAAUUGGGUGUUCUGGGCCGCUGGGGAGAGAGAACCCCUGGUUUAAUUCUUGAGGUAGGACUUGGGGUUGUCUUCUCUGCCAGCAGCCCACAAUUCUGGGUUCAGACAUCACAACGCACAGACCAGAGAUGGGGUGUUGUUUAGCUCAGCAGCAGUGGUGGUGUGUGCUUGCCCGGUUCAAUCACGAUCACCUAUGCUCAUAGCAACCCCGGGGCAGUCAUGCCUCUGAGCUGAACCAGUGUUGUACAAGCCAUCUUCAAAAAGUUGCCCCCUCCUGUUUUUCUCUCCCUCAUUCCUUUUAUUUUUUCCUUUCCACUUUGGACAACGAACCGCCAAUUCUUUGAUGCCAUUGCUGUUUCUCAGUGCCAUAUUGAUGGAGAUAUAGGGGAGGGUGGCCUUGGGAGAUGGUGGGCUGGAAACAGAAUGGUUGCCAUUAUCUAGUAGAUUCGUUGUAGGAAAUGCUACUGCUCUUUUGCAGUGUCUCCACUUUCUUUCAAAACCUCAAUGACCAUUGUCAAAGAACCUGAUGUUUCUCUAGUGCUGGCCCUUCCCAGUCUAGACAGGAAGAUGUACCCCCAGCUGGGCUUUGAUCCUGCACCACAGUAGCAUCCCUCACUGUGUGCCUUCCCUUGGCUUUCAGUUAAGACUCGCCAUGCAUUUACUUAAUUUUUUAUUCAAUAAUAUAUAAUUACUUUAAUAUAGAACUGUCCAUCAUGCCACAGAGCUUCCCUCCUCCCGCAGCCUGCAAAAUAGGAGCCAGUUACUUCUCAAGGCGGCACAUGCUGGGCCGGGUUUGAGGAAGCCACCUGAGCCAACAACAGUUUUGCAUACCCUUCAUGUUUUCCAUGCUUUCUCGGUCAGGAAGGAGUCAACAGGAAGUCAAAAGCAGAAGUUAAGGUUUGUGUUUUUAUAUGCCAUCAGCUGCCGCUGUUGCAGUCCUCACUCCGGAACCUGCCACCGGGAUGCCACCUGGACGCCGCACACCACCAUCUCUGUACACAAGUGGAUUAAGACGUUUGAUUUGGUUCUUGUUCUGCUUAUGGGAAAUUGGGAGGAACAGCAUCGGACAGACCUAGGGAGAGAGGGGAAGCAAGCAUCAAAGGCAAAGCUGGCGUUGGAAGGGACCAAGCAUGCAGCCCAAACAGUUAGUGCUGUGAGCCAGGGCGACGGGGAGUGUUAGACCAAAGGCUUACUGCCAACCCCCCUGCCAUUUUCCACCAAGAGCCCACCUGUCUGCCAGGCCACCUCCUCCUGUGAAGUGAGUGUGCCUUAGGACAACCUGUGCCAAGACUGUGGUGGCGAUCUAGAGCUGGUGCUGCAUUAUGAUGGCACGUGAGUGACAGCAAGCAGAAAGAGCAAGAUAAACGCUCAGCCUGGCAUCCCACUCACUCAUUCAUCUCACGUUUACAACAGAACGCAGCUCUUUCACCCUUCUCUCUGAAAAACAGGUAUGUAAGGAAGGAUGGGGCAUCUUCUGCAAGGUUUCCAAUUCCCACCAAUGCAGCUAUGCCAGCCACUCUGGGGCCAGGCUGCAUCUUCACAUCAAGUUCUGCAGAAGCAGAGCAGCUAAGCAGAGAUUUCAUUUUCCUGGGACUCUUGGUUUUUAUUUGGAGGGAAGAGGGGGAGAAAAGAUGCACUUGCUUGUUUAGCUCUUACGGCUGCCACAAGAAGUGUUCGAAAAAGUGUGGACAGUCCAUUCUGAUGGAAGCUUCCAAAGCCAGAGGUUGUGGAACAAGAUUUCCAGGGAUGGGGAUGGGAUUCAGUGCCCUUGAGACUUGGCCGCUCCGCAUGACUGGCAAAACAAGAAGAGCGAAGCAAGCGGGCCUCACUUGCGCAGGCCGCACAGCUCCACAUUUUCCUCGCUGUUGAUUUUGUCUGGUUCUAAAAGCGCAGGCUAGACACAGCUCUUCCAGGAGCAGCCUCCCCCGUCUGAUGCCUUCCAGCGUGGCCCAGCUGGGAAGUUCCGGUCCAACACUCCUGGAGGCCACCAGAAGCCAUUUCCUGGCUGAGCAGCCAAGCAUCAGCACACCCACAAGCUCACACUGGCCAAGAGGCUGGCUGCCACAGAGCUAAGGGGUGAGAAACGGGACUGGCAGGCCCUGUCACAGAAGGCGAUGAUCAAAGCAGCCGGCCCGUCCAGCGCCCGGGGCCAGAGUGUGGGCGUUCAGCAUUGCUGUGGCCCAGUGGCCGAAACAGCGAGCAGAUCAGGGGGCUCCAGUCUGAAGUCCACCGUGACUGGUGCCGCAUCACCAGGCCAGCCCUUUUCUUCUCUAGCCUCGCCCCACCAUCCAUGGUAUCAUCACAGCGGCCUGCUUUACUGUACUGGAUAACAAUACAGCGUGACUGUGGAAAUCUCUGGACGCCCCAUAGUUUUCUGAAGAAGAGGCCCCUGCUCUCAUGCACCACAGGCCAAGGGAAAUCUUAGUCAUGCUUGGCAGGCACCAGAUGUCUUUGGGCCCAGGAACUGAGGAGGAUGGAAGACCCAGCACUUCCCUAGGCCUGUUCUGUGCUUCGCUCAGACAGGCACCGGAUAAAGUGAGCACAACUACACACUGCCUCCCCUCGCCUUUUGCCCUAAUCGGGAGGCCUUCCCGGGGUGAACUGGACACUGCUUUUUCCUAAAGACAGAUGCAGUUAAAGGAACAUGUGCCUAUCAGAGACUUGUACAUUUAAGGCCGCAGCCCUUACUUGGUAGGAAGCUCCGCUAAUAGAGCAAGGCCUACUUCUCAGUAAGCAUAGGACUGUGCUGCAAGUUGAGAUUACGUACAGCAAGGAGCAGACACACUUGUAAACUUCCUGCCUUGAAACAAAGAGCAUUCCUUGCCAAGGAAAUGAAAUUCCGCACCACGAGGUCUACCCUGCACUCUGAUUAACCUGUACAUACCUACGCCCACUAUUUACUUGUGAAUUCAGUAUUUUGGUUCUUAAAAACUCUGUUUACAAUGAUAAUAAAUGCUUAUUUCCAUCCUUA